rnacentral:rRNA from 1 species
GACGAACGCUGGCGGCGUGCUUAACACAUGCAAGUCGAACGGAAAGUCCCUGCUUUUGUGGGGGGCUCGAGUGGCGAACGGGUGAGUAACACGUGAGUAACCUGCCCUGUACUUUGGGAUAACUUCAGGAAACUGGGGCUAAUACCGGAUAGGAGCUCCUGCUGCAUGGUGGGGGUUGGAAAGUUUCGGCGGUUGGGGAUGGACUCGCGGCUUAUCAGCUUGUUGGUGGGGUAGUGGCUUACCAAGGCUUUGACGGGUAGCCGGCCUGAGAGGGUGACCGGCCACAUUGGGACUGAGAUACGGCCCAGACUCCUACGGGAGGCAGCAGUGGGGAAUAUUGCACAAUGGGCGGAAGCCUGAUGCAGCAACGCCGCGUGCGGGAUGACGGCCUUCGGGUUGUAAACCGCUUUCGCCUGUGACGAAGCGUGAGUGACGGUAAUGGGUAAAGAAGCACCGGCUAACUACGUG